rnacentral:tRNA from 1 species
GCCGAGCUGGGCAGCGCGCCGCACCAGGCGCCCUGGCACGGCGCCGUCGCGCGUGCGCGGCAGCUGCUGCUGUCCGAAGGCAGCGGCCCGGGC